rnacentral:rRNA from 1 species
GGCGAACGCUGGCGGCGUGCUUAACACAUGCAAGUCGAACGGAAAGGCCCUGCUUUUGUGGGGUGCUCGAGUGGCGAACGGGUGAGUAACACGUGAGUAACCUGCCCUUGACUUUGGGAUAACUUCAGGAAACUGGGGCUAAUACCGGAUAGGAGCUCCUGCUGCAUGGUGGGGGUUGGAAAGUUUCGGCGGUUGGGGAUGGACUCGCGGCUUAUCAGCUUGUUGGUGGGGUAGUGGCUUACCAAGGCUUUGACGGGUAGCCGGCCUGGGAGGGUGACCGGCCACAUUGGGACUGAGAUACGGCCCAGACUCCUACGGGCGGCAGCAGUGGGGAAUAUUGCACAAUGGGCGGAAGCCUGAUGCAGCAACGCCGCGUGCGGGAUGACGGCCUUCGGGUUGUAAACCGCUUUCGCCUGUGACGAAGCGUGAGUGACGGUAAUGGGUAAAGAAGCACCGGCUAACUACGUG